GAUGAAGAACGCAGCGAAAUGCGAUAAGUAAUGUGAAUUGCAGAAUUCAGUGAAUCAUCGAAUCUUUGAGCGCACAUUGCGCCCGCCAGUAUUCUGGCGGGCAUGCCUGUUCGAGCGUCAUUUCAACCCUCAGGCCCCCAGUGCCUGGUGUUGGGGAUCGGCCCAGCCUUCCUGUAAGGCCGCCGGCCCCGAAAUCUAGUGGCGGUCUCGCUGUAGUCCUCCUCUGCGUAGUAGCACAACCUCGCAGUUGGAACGCGGCGGUGGCCAUGCCGUUAAACACCCCACUUCUGAAAGUUGACCUCGGAUCAGGUAGGAAUACCCGCUGAACUUAAGCAUAUCAAUAAGCGGAGGA
rnacentral:misc_RNA from 1 species